rnacentral:rRNA from 1 species
UGGGGAAUAUUGCACAAUGGGCGCAAGCCUGAUGCAGCCAUGCCGCGUGUAUGAAGAAGGCCUUCGGGUUGUAAAGUACUUUCAGCGGGGAGGAAGGGAGUAAAGUUAAUACCUUUGCUCAUUGACGUUACCCGCAGAAGAAGCACCGGCUAACUCCGUGCCAGCAGCCGCGGUAAUACGGAGGGUGCAAGCGUUAAUCGGAAUUACUGGGCGUAAAGCGCACGCAGGCGGUUUGUUAAGUCAGAUGUGAAAACCCCGGGCUCAACCUGGGAACUGCAUCUGAUACUGGCAAGCUUGAGUCUCGUAGAGGGGGGUAGAAUUCCAGGUGUAGCGGUGAAAUGCGUAGAGAUCUGGAGGAAUACCGGUGGCGAAGGCGGCCCCCUGGACGAAGACUGACGCUCAGGUGCGAAUGCGUGGGGAGCAAACA